GACGAACGCUGGCGGCGUGCUUAACACAUGCAAGUCGAACGGAAAGGUCCUGCUUUUGUGGGGUGCUCGAGUGGCGAACGGGUGAGUAACACGUGAGUAACCUGCCCUUGACUUUGGGAUAACUUCAGGAAACUGGGGCUAAUACCGGAUAGGAGCUCCUGCUGCAUGGUGGGGGUUGGAAAGUUUCGGCGGUUGGGGAUGGACUCGCGGCUUAUCAGCUUGUUGGUGGGGUAGUGGCUUACCAAGGCUUUGACGGGUAGCCGGCCUGAGAGGGUGACCGGCCACAUUGGGACUGAGAUACGGCCCAGACUCCUACGGGAGGCAGCAGUGGGGAAUAUUGCACAAUGGGCGGAAGCCUGAUGCAGCAACGCCGCGUGCGGGAUGACGGCCUUCGGGUUGUAAACCGCUUUCGCCUGUGACGAAGCGUGAGUGACGGUAAUGGGUAAAGAAGCACCGGCUAACUACGUG
rnacentral:rRNA from 1 species